rnacentral:rRNA from 1 species
UAACCUGCCCAAGAGACUGGGAUAACACCUGGAAACAGAUGCUAAUACCGGAUAACAACACUAGACGCAUGUCUAGAGUUUAAAAGAUGGUUCUGCUAUCACUCUUGGAUGGACCUGCGGUGCAUUAGCUAGUUGGUAAGGUAACGGCUUACCAAGGGCAAUGAUGCAUAGCCGAGUUGAGAGACUGAUCGGCCACAUUGGGACUGAGACACGGCCCAAACUCCUACGGAAGGCAGCAG